rnacentral:lncRNA from 10 species
CUCUCACUUCAUGUCCCCCGCCUCCUGGAGUGCACAGCUAACAGACUUUAAAUGACUAAUUUUCUGUUUACAAUCGCAAAGGAGGACAGGAAGAGAGCACUUAGUCACCUCCUUGUAAACCAGUUUCAAAAUAUUGUUUCCAUAGACAUUUUAUUUCUUUUCUUUUAAAUUGUGAUGAAGUACACAUAACAUAAAAUUUACCUUCUUAACCAUUUUCAAGUGUACAGUUUAGCAGCAUUAGGUACAUUCACAUUUGUACAACCAACAUCGUUAACCGUUUCCAGAACUUUUUUUUAUCAUCCCAAACAAAAGCUCAGCACUCAUUAAACACUCACACCCCAUUCCUCCUCCCCCCAGGCCCUGGAAACCGUCAUUCCACUUUCUGUCUCCAUGACUUGAACUUCUCCGGGGUCCUCCCAUGAGUGGAAUCAGACAGCAUUUGUCCUUUUGUGCCUGGUUUGUUUCACUUGGCAUAAUGUCCAUGACACUUAUUUACGUUGCAGCUUGUGACGUGAUUUCCUCCAUUUUUAAGGCUGAAUAUUCUCUUCCUCCUUCUCUUCCUUGUCUUCCUUCUUUUUUCCAUCAUACAGGUCCAAGACACUUAGCUGGGAACCAAGGGGCACAGAGAUGAACACACAGCAUCUGUGUCAUGUGCUCUGGGUCAGAAGGAGAUCACCCCUACACACACACACACACACACACACACACACACACACACACACAAGUUGUGGUUAUAGACUUAUAGUUGCAUGGUUGCUGGGUUGAGCUCUAUGGAAGAGGAAUGGGCCAGCUGGGGGCACGAAGAGACUGAUCAGUAACCAGAAGAUGUGUGCAAGUAUGGCCUAGGACCUUCACAGGAAAUGAGGCCAAGACUGAUGGAUUUGGAAUCAAUGUGGGAGAGGUGGAAAAGGAUAAUAUGGCAUCCACACGAUGAAGCAUUGCAUCCCAAGUGGCUGAAACAUCAAGAAGGUGGGUAGAGAAAGGGAGGAAGACACGCCUAAUGAGACAGGGAGAAUUGAGCACAUCAAGAAGGACUCUAAGUGUCUUGCAAAAAUAUCUCACUUAGACAGCAAUAAAGUCAUUAAAAACAUUUUCUACUUUAUUGCAAACCUACAUGAAAGUAAAAAUGAAAGUCCUUAAGGCAAA